rnacentral:lncRNA from 1 species
GCAGAACGUAGAGGAUGAAAAUCCCGGGGAGGAUUCUGUUGAUUUUGUUGCGGCAACCACAGCGGCUCUAGGGGUUCCCUCGCCCUGUCUCUCGAAAACGAGUUCUUUUCAGGAUUCUCCGCCUGCAGCUGUUGAGCUUCGUAAGCUGAGAAAGGGAGACCUUGAGGAAGAAACAGAGUUAUUGCAAGCCUUGCAGUUAUCACAGGGGAACGAUCCAGCACCAAACACUGUCGGAGACUCUGCAUUCACAUUUUCAGAUGCAAGUCCAACUAGCACCCUUGGUGAUAAUAUCUGUCACCUAGAACAGUUCAAAUCUGAUGGUGAUAAAGCAUCAGAAAAUGAUCAGUUAUCUCCUAAGAAAUCUGGAGAUGGGACGGGCCCUGAUGCUGAAAGUGCUAACAGUAACGAAAAGGCUAUCGCUGAGUUAACUUCUUCUGAGGCGCUUUCAGUGGAGAAGACUGAUCUGGAGUGUACCAAAAUUGAAUGCUCGUCUGAGAGUCUGCUCAAGUCUGAUGCAACGUCUGUUAAUCCAGGUAGUCUCAUCUUUCUGCAUUAUCUGAAGAUGUAAAUUCUUACUCAAAUUCCCACUCCAUCUCCAGAUCUUACUUGCAAAUCCCAGCGUGACGGUGUAGCCGAUGCUUUUACUUCACCCGUAUCUAGUGAUGAACCCAUGUAUGAAGGUGAGGAAUGCGUAAACGCUGUGGCUCCACCAGUUUGUGCAGACAAAGAACCCGUUUAUGAAGGCGAAUCACUUCUUGGGAAAAGGACUGAGAAGAAUGUUGAUGAUUGUUCUUCUGAAGGUAACGGGCUCACAGCAAAAGAAGGUAACACAUAUAUUUGUCACACGUUUUGGCAAACUCAUACAAUGUACCCUUGUGCGUAGAGACACUCUAUUGUUGAGAUAUUAAUACAUUAUCGUUGAGUUUUGCCAGGUGAAGUGAUCAGGAACUUCCUGAAGAACAGUGCCAGUCAAUUAACCUUUUGUGGGUGCGUGGUGUUAUCAUUUGUCGAGAAGUUAUAUUCUCUAAUUGACUACACUGGUAUUAAUCUUACAUUCUAUAUUUUGAUUCUAUCUUACAGACUCUUUCGCUUGCAAGAAGGCCUUAAAGAACGUGAACUCUGUGUCUUUUUCCGCAACAAUCAUUUCUGCACCAUGUUCAAGGUUUAGUUUAAUUUAUAGACAUUUCCAUUUUUAUGAUUGCAACAUAUUGAUUUUCCAAUUAAAUACUCUUCGUGUUGCUGUCAUUUUUCAGUAUGAAGGUGAGCUUUAUCUUUUGGCUACAGAUCAAGGUUACCUAAAUCAGCCUGAUUUAGUUUGGGAAAAGCUAAACGAGGUAUCAGCUUACUGAUCAUUUGUUUUACUUGCUUAUUUAGCAACUCUUAAAGAGAUAUAUAUUAUAACUAUAUCCAGUCUGUUUCCUGCUAUGGCUUCUUGUGAGUUGUGACCACUCUUCACAUGCAAUAUGGUUUCAGGUUAAUGGCGACACUGCGUUCAUGACUGCUACUUUCAAGGAGUUCAAGAUAAUAGCUCUAGACGAUCAAUCAAACACUCAAGUUUCAAAUCAAAAUUAAAAACCGAUUGUCCAAAAUUAGGGUUUUUAGGGGAUUUCGAAAACUUUGAUCUUUGAUCGAGGGGAUUUGAUUUGAGAUUCAAAAACCUUUAAGGUUCUGAUUUUAAUUGAUCAAUGGAUCAAUCUCGUUUUUAGGUUUUAGAUCGAACUUAUAGAGCUUCGAUUUACUCAUAGGGGAUUGAUCUAUUUAACCUAUGGCUUUUAGUUUUGGAGAUUAUCUUUUAGGGUUUCAAUCUUUACAAAACAACCAGGUUCGAUUCAUGUUCUCAGAAUUAGGAUUACCUUUGUUUUGCAUAGUGUAGAAACCGGACCUCCAGGAUGAACGGAUGAACCUCAGACGCGAGCUGUCUUCUUCCUAUCGGGUCUCGAGUCGAGACGGACGCUUUCAGUCGGGGUCGCGAGAUGAGGCUGAGACGGACGCUUGCAGUCGGGGUCGCGAGUUGAGACUGAGACGGACGCGUGCAGUCGGGGUCGCGAGAUGAGGGCUAUCGCGAGCUGUCUUCUUCCUAUCGGGUCUCGAGUCGAGACGGACGCUUUCAGUCGGGGUCGCGAGAUGAGGCUGAUACGGACGCUUGCAGUCGGGUUCGCGAGUUGAGGCUGAGAUGGACGCGUGCAGUCGGGGUCGCGAGAUGAGGGCUAUCGCGAGCUUGUUUCUUCUCGCGGACGGUUGCGUCUGAUCAUGGAUUUGGUCUGAGCUGGACGCAAGCUGAGCUGAGGCUGGAACGUUGAUCACGGACAGGGAACGUCUGAAGCUGAGCUUGAUCGGAGUUGAGUUUGAUCGGAGUUUGCAAGCCGGAACGCAAGCAAGAACAAUUUAGGGUUCUUCGGGAUUAGGGUUCCAAAAGACCAAGACGGCGCCGUGUAUUGUUCCUGCGAGUGAGAGCGCGUCUGAGAUCUGAUCGACGAACGGUUUGCGCUGGUGGAUUCGUCUCGUCAAGAGCUUCAAGAGGAUAUGUGGCUCGUCGUCUGGUUUCUCAGGGUUUGAGAGAUAGAUCGAUUUUAAGCUGCGCUUGAUUUAAGGUUUAUGUGUGACGGAUUUUAGGUUAGGUUUUGUCCCAAGGUUUUGGAGUGUAUCGUGCUGAUAACGUGUCGUAAUUAGAGAAUUUAGAGACUGAAUAUUUCUGUGUUAUUAUUAAUGAUCAAGGGGGUUCUUUUAUAUAAAGAUUACAAGAUAAAGAUAAAUGGAAAGUAUCCAAAACCUAAACUCACUAGGAUUAGGAAAACUACUAAUACAUAAUAAUAGAAAGAUUACAUCAACUAGAAAAAGGAAAGGGUUUCCUUUUCUCCGAACUUUGUGGCCGCCAUUCUCUCUCAUGAAGUCGGCUCUCUCUCUCUCCUCUCUGUAGGGCUUCGGCCGUCUCUCUAUCUUCUAGGUAUUGGGCCGGUCUUGGACCGGACCUGGUUAAAGGCAAUUCAUUCCAUGAUUUAUGACAGAAAGAGAAUAAAAUGGUGUGGCCAAAAUUAAAACAUAAAUGAAAUGAUUUAAUGACUCAAGUCAUCUUUCAUUAAUGGUAAAAUUAUCAUUUUACUCACUUUGGUCUAUAUAGAUUUUUUUAAGUGGUAGUAGAUUUUUUUUUUUUUUGAGCAUUCUGGGUCCAUAAUAGAUUUUUGUCCCUAAAAGAUACGCUUGAAAUAUAUACAGGUUUCCCAAAUUGGUUCAACCAAAUCGUAAUGGUCUAACCAGAGUCAUGUUCAUAGAUAAGAAGAUAGCCAAACGAAACCGAACCAAUUGGUCUGUUACACUGUUCUUCAAAUAACUUGGCGGAACAACACGUCUUCUGGUUUGUACAUUUAAACUGAUAACCAAUAGCAUUUAAAUCAUACCGAAUUUUGGUUUGGUACGUGCCGAUUUGGUUAUGUUAAACCCUCUUCCAGAAAAAGUUCUUCCUCGAAAUAUAAAUUAAAAAUCAUCUUCCUCUUCCUCUUCCUCUUCCUCGCACGCUCUCUCUCUCUCUCUCUCUCGAUUUGGAUCAGAAAAUUUCUUCGAUCAUCAAAAUGGCGACCACCGCUUCAGACUCUCCGACACAGACGAUCCAGGAAGCGAUUCAGCAAGAGGAUGUUGUUGUUAACGAAACUAAGGAGGAGGUGACGACGUACAAGACGAAAUCGAUUCAGUUCCUUGGCCGAAACACGCCUAUCAUUCUCCAGAACGAGAAUGGACCUUGCCCUCUCUUAGCCAUCUGUAUGUUCUUCUUCCCUUAGGGUUGCCCCCCCCCCCCCUUAGGGUUGGAUUAAUGAUGGAUUGUUUAGGUUUCCGUUUCUAGGAUUGUAACGCUAGUUGGAGGAUCGGUGUUAGGGUUUGUUGGUUUUGGUAAUAAUAUAAUGAAAGGUAUUUGUCUAAUCAUUGAAAUGUUCUGUAGGAGAUGAAAUCUUCUGCUAGUUAUUUGUAUCCGGAUGUCUUUUAUUAACGUGUAUAUUGAUUUUGGGAUCUAACAGGUAAUGUUCUUCUUCUGAGAAACAACUUGAAGCUGAGUCCUGACUCUUAUGAGGUUUCUCAAGAGAGAUUGAUGUCCCUUGUGGUCGACAGAUUGAUUGAGUCCAAUAGUAAAGUCAAUGUAAUUUAAUCAAAGCUUCUUCUUUAUAUUUAUAUUUAUAUUUAUGGACUUAAUCUUUGUGGAUAACUUUUGUUUAAUGUUUCUCAUGGCAGGACAAAGAGGAAGAAUAUAUUAAGAAUCAGCAACAGAACAUUGCUGAUGCUAUUGAUCUUCUUCCACGUCUUACUACUGGAAUCGAUGUCAAUAUUAAAUUCAGGAGGUUCACAGCUUUUAUCUUUUGUUAUUAAGCUUCUACCAUUGUAGAAAUUUAUAUAAUAACCAUUUAACGUGUUUGCCAGGAUUGAUGAUUUUGAGUUCACCCCUGAGUGUGCAAUAUUUGACUUACUUGACAUUCCUUUGUAUCAUGGAUGGAUAGUUGAUCCCCAGGUAUUACCGUGAUUUUGUUUUAAUUUCCAUUCUUGUGAUAGGAUACUUUAUUCUGUAUAUCCAUUGUUUGGCUCGUUAUGGAUAGAUCACUUUUCUUUUUUAGAAUGGUGUCUUUAUCAAUCCUGGCUCUGUAGUAAAAAGAUUGAUUCCGUGUUGCUUUUGCAUACCUCCAGGAUGUUGAAACAGCUGAUGCAAUUGGUAGCAAGUCAUAUAAUGCGCUAAUGGGGGAGCUCGUUGCUCUGGAGACGCAGAACGUAGAGCACGAAAAUCCCGGAGAGGAUUCUGUUGAUUUCGUUGCGGCAACCACAGCGGCUCUAGGGGUUCCUUCGCCCUGUCUCUCGAAAACUAGCUCUUUUCAGGAUUCUCCACCUGCAGCUGUUGAGCUUCGUAAGCUGAGAAAGGGUGACCUUGAGGAAGAAACAGAGUUAUUGCAAGCCUUGCAGUUAUCACAGGGGAACGGUCCAGCACCAAACGCUCACGGAGACUCGGCCAACCUGGACUCUGCUUUCACAUUUUCAGACG